rnacentral:rRNA from 1 species
UGGGGAAUUUUGGACAAUGGGCGAAAGCCUGAUCCAGCAAUGCCGCGUGUGUGAAGAAGGCCUUCGGGUUGUAAAGCACUUUUGUCCGGAAAGAAAUCCUUGGCUCUAAUACAGUCGGGGGAUGACGGUACCGGAAGAAUAAGCACCGGCUAACUACGUGCCAGCAGCCGCGGUAAUACGUAGGGUGCAAGCGUUAAUCGGAAUUACUGGGCGUAAAGCGUGCGCAGGCGGUUUGCUAAGACCGAUGUGAAAUCCCCGGGCUCAACCUGGGAACUGCAUUGGUGACUGGCAGGCUAGAGUAUGGCAGAGGGGGGUAGAAUUCCACGUGUAGCAGUGAAAUGCGUAGAGAUGUGGAGGAAUACCGAUGGCGAAGGCAGCCCCCUGGGCCAAUACUGACGCUCAUGCACGAAAAGCGUGGGGAGCAAACAGGAUUAGAUACCCUGGUAGUCCACGCCCUAAAACGAUGUCAACUAGUUGUUGGGGAUUCAUUUCCUUAGUAACGUAGCUAACGCGUGAAGUUGACCGCCUGGGGAGUACGGUCGCAAGAUUAAAACUCAAAGGAAUUGACGGGGUCAUAGCUGUUUCCU